UGGCUCAGUUGGUUGAGCAUGGCGCUUGAAACGCCAGGGUUGUGGGAUUGAUUCCCAC
rfam:Salmo salar isolate Sally breed double haploid chromosome ssa15, whole genome shotgun sequence.